AUUGAACGCUGGCGGCAGGCUUAACACAUGCAAGUCGAGCGGAGAUGAGGUGCUUGCACCUUAUCUUAGCGGCGGACGGGUGAGUAAUGCUUAGGAAUCUGCCUAUUAGUGGGGGACAACAUUCCGAAAGGAAUGCUAAUACCGCAUACGUCCUACGGGAGAAAGCAGGGGAUCUUCGGACCUUGCGCUAAUAGAUGAGCCUAAGUCGGGUUAGCUAGUUGGUGGGGUAAAGGCCUACCAAGGCGACGAUCUGUAGCGGGUCUGAGAGGAUGAUCCGCCACACUGGGACUGAGACACGGCCCAGACUCCUACGGGAGGCAGCAGUGGGGAAUAUUGGACAAUGGGGGAAACCCUGAUCCAGCCAUGCCGCGUGUGUGAAGAAGGCCUUAUGGUUGUAAAGCACUUUAAGCGAGGAGGAGGCUACUGAGACUAAUACUCUUGGAUAGUGGACGUUACUCGCAGAAUAAGCACCGGCUAACUCUGUGCCAGCCGCCGCAGUAA
rnacentral:rRNA from 1 species